AAAACACAAGUACAUGUGAAUCCUCUCCAUUCCUCCCAUGAGUACAACAGAAGACAACAUUUUGGGGUGACUAGAGACAGAUAAAUCCAUCAUCUGCAAUUAAUCCUGCCAUCUUUGAUGAACACUUCACACUUCAUUUUAUAUUUUCACCAUUUGUGACGCAAACCUUGUUUCUGCACAGGUAGUCUAAAUCACCUCUGUUGAGGCUUGUUGUCUCAAUUGGUUUUAAUCUUGGUGCAUGCAAUACAAUCCAUCAGUUUUCUUGUAAAUCAUCACUUCAUUCGAAUAAAGUUUGUCAUUUUAUUUAAAAUAAUAAUCGAAUAUAAUA